UACGGGGGGGGCAAGCGUUGUUCGGAAUUACUGGGCGUAAAGGGCGCGUAGGCGGCCUUCUAAGUCGGACGUGAAAUCCCUCGGCUUAACCGAGGAACUGCGUCCGAUACUGAAAGGCUUGAAUCCGGGAGAGGGAUGUGGAAUUCCAGGUGUAGCGGUGAAAUGCGUAGAUAUCAGGAAGAACACCAAUGGCGAAGGCAGCUCUCUGGGACGGUACUGACGCUGAGACGCGAAAGCGUGGGGAGCGAACAGG
rnacentral:rRNA from 1 species